rnacentral:rRNA from 1 species
GACGAACGCUGGCGGCGUGCUUAACACAUGCAAGUCGAACGGUGAUACGCCAGCUUUCUGGCGUGGAUCAGUGGCGAACAGGUGAGUAAAACGUGAGCAACAUCCCCCUGUCACUCGGGUAUGAGCUCGGGACACCGUCUAUAACACGGUACAAUACUGGCAUGCACGGGCUUGGUUUGGGAAGUACGUCGGUUUGGGCUCGGCUCGAGGCCUAUCAGCUUCAUGGUGAGGUAAUUGCUCACCAAGUCGACGACGGGUAGCCGGCCUGAGAGCGCGACCGGCCACACUGGGACUGCGACACGGCCCAGACUCCUACGGUCCGCAGCAGUGGGGAAUAUUGCGCAAUGGGCGAGAGCCUGAUGCAGCGACCCCGCGUGCGUGAUGACGUCCUUCUGGUGGUAAACCUCUGUCUGCAGGGAAGAAGCGAUAGUGACGGUACCUGCAGAAGAAGCCCCGGCUAACUACGUG